ACCUUUAUGGAUUUUAAGGCAGAGCAUGGGAAGUUCAUUAUUCUUUAGGCACUACAUACUGCUUUUGUAAAGUAUUUUCAAGUCCUACCCUUCCUUGCCACAAUUUCACAUUCAUAUUCCUUAAAGACUUGUGUUGUAUUCUUUGUGUUUUGCAUACAGUCCUUGCUAUCCCAGAUGGAUUAUUUAGUUCUGUCCUUUUGCAUUUAAUUACUUCUUCAAGGACAUAACGUUUUGGGGUCUAUGAAAUUGAAGCAAUGAAAUGGUUGCGCGAUGGAAAUUUACCAACGUGAACUCAGUCUUUUGUCCUUUCACAGGCAUUGCUUUACCUGAAGCUCCCUUGUCAAUGAGAAAUUAUUUCUUUAUAUCUAACUGUCUCUUUUCCUAUACAGGCUGGGAUUGUUCCUAACAAAAGAAGCAUGAAUUGGUGGAAACUAUAUAUUAAAUGCAAGACGAUUUGUCUAGUUUUCAUUAGGUUGCUGAGUGAAAAGCGUCAAUUCCUCUCUUUUCCCAAGAUUCUGAAGAUAACUGUUUUCUGUUUAGGGAAUCCUAAAAUGUCAUGGAAAUUGUACAGAUGCACAUGCUUGUCCUCAUUCCUACUUUGUAAGAGGAACUUUCUGUUCAGGAAGGGGAGCUCAGGAAGUUGAAACUCAUUUCUUCUUUUCCUUUUGCUGCCUUUCAGCAUUGAACAAAUGGUGAAACCAGAGUGCUUGGAUCCAUCCUGCUCUAUGCGAUACAGUAUGAAUGAUGUCCUGAACCCAGGGCUAUGUGCUUCCAGGUAAAUUUUCAACUUUGUGGCUUUCUCCUGUGAGCCCAGUCUGAAGGUAGAGUUCUAACUGGGACACUCAGGAC
rnacentral:lncRNA from 1 species